rnacentral:tRNA from 2 species
GCAUUCGUGGUGUAGCGGUAACAUUGGGUCUUCCCAUGGCCUAGCUUCGGGUUCGACUCCCGGCGGAUGCA